rnacentral:rRNA from 1 species
UCGAGCGGAAGGCCCUUCGGGGUACUCGAGCGGCGAACGGGUGAGUAACACGUGAGCAACCUGCCCCAGGCUUUGGGAUAACCCCGGGAAACCGGGGCUAAUACCGAAUAUGACCUUCUGCCGCAUGGUGGAGGGUGGAAAGUUCUUCGGCUUGGGAUGGGCUCGCGGCCUAUCAGCUUGUUGGUGGGGUGAUGGCCUACCAAGGCGACGACGGGUAGCCGGCCUGAGAGGGCGACCGGCCACACUGGGACUGAGACACGGCCCAGACUCCUACGGGAGGCAGCAGUGGGGAAUAUUGCACAAUGGGCGGAAGCCUGAUGCAGCGACGCCGCGUGAGGGAUGACGGCCUUCGGGUUGUAAACCUCUUUCAGCAGGGACGAAGCGCAAGUGACGGUACCUGCAGAAGAAGCGCCGGCCAACUACGUGCCAGCAGCCGCGGUAAGACGUAGGGCGCGAGCGUUGUCCGGAUUUAUUGGGCGUAAAGAGCUCGUAGGCGGCUUGUCGCGUCGACUGUGAAAACCCGCAGCUCAACUGCGGGCCUGCAGUCGAUACGGGCAGGCUAGAGUUCGGUAGGGGAGACUGGAAUUCCUGGUGUAGCGGUGAAAUGCGCAGAUAUCAGGAGGAACACCGGUGGCGAAGG